rnacentral:rRNA from 1 species
AAUAGAUACCCGGGUAGUCCACGCCGUAAACGAUGAGUGCUAAGUGUUAGAGGGUUUCCGCCCUUUAGUGCUGCAGCUAACGCAUUAAGCACUCCGCCUGGGGAGUACGGCCGCAAGGCUGAAACUCAAAGGAAUUGACGGGGGGCCCGCACAAGCGGUGGAGCAUGUGGUUUAAUUCGAAGCAACGCGAAGAACCUUACCAGGUCUUGACAUCUCCUGACAAUCCUAGAGAUAGGACGUUCCCCUUCGGGGGGACAGGAUGACAGGUGGUGCAUGGUUGUCGUCAGCUCGUGUCGUGAGAUGUUGGGUUAAGUCCCGCAACGAGCGCAACCCUUGAUCUUAGUUGCCAGCAUUCAGUUGGGCACUCUAAGGUGACUGCCGGUGACAAACCGGAGGAAGGUGGGGAUGACGUCAAAUCAUCAUGCCCCUUAUGACCUGGGCUACACACGUGCUACAAUGGAUGGUACAAAGGGCUGCAAAACCGCGAGGUUAAGCCAAUCCCAUAAAACCAUUCUCAGUUCGGAUUGCAGGCUG